CGAGCCGCAUACAAGGUCCGCGCACCGCACCCCCUCCUCCUUUUCACAAAGCGCCGCACACCCGCCGACCCCAUAUCAGUCCCACCCGCCUGUACAAGCAGCAGAACGCCGCUGCGGGAGGGUCCGGACUCUGUAGAACAGCCGGGCUGUUUCAUAAUAAACUCCCUGGAUCCCGGGCGCUGUGACGUCACCAUGAACUUCAGUGCCGCUUGCAAUGCUGGGAGGGAGAAGUGGAGGACACUGCAAUCUGUAGCGCUGCCGCUGUUUUAACGGAGAGGAUCUGUUCUGCAGUGGCGAUUGUCUCCUGCUGCUGUCACACCCUGGCUGGCUGCCAGUCGUUUCACCUGCCAGUGUGGGCCGGGAUGUGAGGAGAGCCAGAACUGUGUAUCAUGGUUAGAAUUUGGAGGAAUGGCAAAAACAACAGUGGACAAAAUAAUACAGAGUUCCAGAAUGUUCUCUUGAAGAGCCAGAGAAGAUGACCUCAAUUGAAUGACACCUCAAAAUUUGGACACCAGCAGGAUUUUUCUGCACAUUGGCUACAUGGCUUGUGGUAUUUGUCCAGGUUUGCAGUAAACAUUUACAUUCAAGGAUGAUCUUCACGUGAACUUGGAACCUGUUAUUACUAUGAACAUGACUUCCAGGAAAUAAAUUAACCAUGGAGUCCAUCUCUGUUUGGACGUAGACUGCCAACCGUGUGGCUGUUUACUAUCCCUAAUCAAAUCAUUGCGAUAAACGUAACAUCUACGGCUCUUGUUUUGCAUAAUCCAGACCUAAUUUGAUAAUCAGAGUAAAUAAAUUGCGGUUGUUUAGGUAAAGGAGAUUGCCAGUCAAUCAACAUGUUUGGAAGGAGUACCUUCCAACAAACUAACUGCAGUGGACAUCUGCAAGAUGAGUCAUCUACAUCAUGAGUCAUCAUCAUCACCAGGUCUAAACAUCUCAAGGUCCAAGGAAAACCAAAUCAGAUUAUACUCUGUGUUUUAGAAAGUCGUGAACUCAGAACAUGUAAUCCCAUAAAUCAUACAUCUUGAUCCUCUUCCCUUUACUGUAAAGAAAAUUGAGCCUCAUCUAACGAGAUGAAAUAAUCUGUUACUGUGUGGAAAAUCAGGCUGCAGAGGAGCCACGUGUCAUCACUUACAGAAACAGACAUACUGUGUUACUGGAUGCAGCACUCAAAUGACUGAUAUGUUUUUUUAGGCUACAGUGCACUAGAUGUAAACUUGUUAUUUAAUUUUUUAAAACAAGCAGCAAAUAAUUCCAAUAU